UCCAGUUGCUAAAUAUAUAAUAACAACUGCAGUACUCUUUAAAACUGACUUAAGACUGAGAUGGAAAGUGGCUGCAGUGUACUUGCUUUCAGUGAUGUCUGGGCUGGAGUUAUUUGGAGCUGCAGUGGUUGAUUAUUGUUUGCGAGGAGGUUCUUAAAAUAAUUGUGGCAAAUGGAGCGAUGUUUGAAGUGUAUAAAAAUGGAAAGCUUUCAUUCCAUCUCUGAGAAGCGUGCCAAGUGAUGAAAAUUAAGGUAAAAAGGAAUUUGUGGAAGAAAUGAAGAGCAUAGACUUCUCUGGAAUGUGAGAGUAUCACCUGGACUGGAGAGAAGUGGAGGACUGGGCAGAAGAGGAGGAAAUAUGGAUGUUUGUUAGGGAAAACUGAACAGUGAGAACAUGGAAGCUGGGUGAGGGGACAGGCUCAAGAGUGUUGUGAUCCAUGGCAUGAAGACCACCCAGAGGCAGGCGUGUUGGUGUUCCUGCAAUAUUCAGGAAUUUCCCUCUGGGGCUGCACUUGGCUUGAGGACUACAGCUGCUGCACACAGCAAACCAGGGUGACCAGCAGAUGUCAGCUCUUUGGUUCGUCUCAUCAGGAGGAAAUCGCAGUUGCUGUGGACAGGACUACACAGAGAAAAGAAAGAAGAACCUGGCCCUUCAAAAUGAUGCAUCUGCAACUGCAUCAUACAGAAAUUUACAGCCAUCUUCAAACACCGCCCAGCUUGCCUGCUGGGGCAUCUAUUUCAGUGCCGAAUAGAUGGUCAUUGCCAUAACAUCCAACACUGUGAUUGCUGCUGUGAUGGCCACUAUUAGUGCAAAUGGCAUUUUCAGGCCCAUUACACUGAGUGCAUUCAGGAGGGCCCAAAACCUGUGGAAAAUGUAUAAUUAAACUAUUUGGGAACACUUAGGCCAACUGAUACCAGAAUGAAUUAUGGUAUAUGCAGCUUGUUGUUCUUCUAAUGAGUAAUACAGUUACUGCUAUAAAGUAGCUGUUUUGAAUAAUUGUCUAAUUUUCAAAUGGAAAAAUAUAUUGAGAUAAUUACUUAAGUAGAGUCUAAAAAUAAAUUCUAAGUUCAUUAAGAAACAGCUUUAAAUUUGCUAAAUACUUUAGCUGGCCUUAUUAAAAUACAUUGCUUCAGAAAGUGAGAAAUUAUUCUUUUGUGGUGAGAUGAGAAAAGUAGCUUUAAUAACAAAAGUAUGUUUUAAAUUUAAAUAUGUAAGCACUUCAAACCUUACAGCUUCAAAAGUGAAAAAGAUGAAUGGGUCAAACCCUGUCCCCAUUUCAGUUAAAGACAGUCUUGCCACUUAUUUCAGUCAAGUACGGGUGACACUCAAAGUGGUGAAUCUAACCUAUAAUUUCCCCGCUGCUCUGUUUUACUGGGAGAUAAUACAUUUAUCUCAUUCAGGCCUUUGUAUCUCUCAUUAGCUCUCAUCCAGGAACCCCAAGGAGUUUAAUGGUGGAACCUGAACAAUCAUGCAAAAUCCACUUCUGCUUAUAAUACCCAUGUAGGGAUGUCACCCCUCUCAAACUCUUUCCUAGUGAAACAAACCAGUGAGAUUCAAGACCUGAAAAGAAGAUUAUUGUAGCUUUUACAAAAAUCUUUACAAGUGGGUCAGUUACUUUACAGCUCUAAUAGUAUUCUUUUUUUCUUUCUCAUGUAAUUAUUAACCCAGUAGCAUAUUUUGAUUUAAGUUAAUCUUUGCUUUUGUAUAGCGUUAUUUGCAAUAAAUUCUGAAGUAUCAAAUGCUUUUGUGUGACGUGGAGAAGGUGUCUUUAUCAGCAGGAGCAUCUCCUGGGAAAGAAUCAAAGAGCACAGGCAGCAGUGUGAAGACAGUCUAAUCACA
ensembl:lncRNA